ensembl:lncRNA
AUUUGAAUAGGGUUUCAGACCAGGGCCGUAGGGACCUAUUUGAAUAGGGUUUCAGACCAGGGCCGUAGGGACCUAUUGGAAUAGGGUUUCAGACUGUUGGAACUAGUAACAUAAGCAUUUUGCUGCACCUGCUAUAACACUUCCAAAUCUGUGCAAGCAACCAAUACACUUUGGUUGAUUUGGAAAGUAGUGCACUAUAAUAGGGAAUAGGGUUCCAUAGGGCCCUGGUCUAAAGUAGUUCACUAUAUAUAGGGAAUAGGGUGCCAUAGGGCUCUGGUCUAUAGUAGUGCCCUAUAUAGGGAAUAGGGUGCCAUAGGGCUCUGGUCUAUAGUAGUGCCCUAUAUAGGGAGCCGUUUCAGGCGCUGCCAGAGUCUUCAAAGCCCAUGUCCCCCAGAGGGUUUCUGAAGGGUAGGUCCAGGAGUUUUUCCUGACCCCUCUGUAACCUGCAGGAUAAACUCUAUGCCAUAGAACGGACCUCCCAAUUCAAGUCAAUAAUGGCAUACUGGGUGUAGAGGUUCCAUUUUUAUAUUCCAGGCCUGACCGAUAAAGAGCUGUUGGCUAUAUGUUUUCCUUUUUCAAAUCUCUCAUCUAUGACCUCUAGGUGUUUCAAACCUGUCUUCUACAACCUCUAGGUGUUAUAAACCUCUCCUCUACAACCUCUAGGUGUUGUAAACCUCUCAUCUAUGACCUCUAGGUGUUGUAAACCUCUCCUCUACAACCUCUAGGUGUUAUAAACCUCUCCACAACCUCUAGGUGUUUCAAACCUCUCCAGGACCUCUAGGUGUUUCAAACCUCUCCAGGACCUCUAGGUGUUUCAAACCUUUCUAGGACCUCUAGGUGUUUCAAACCUCUCCAGGACCUCUAGGUGUUUCAAACCUUUCUAGGACCUCUAGGUGUUUCAAACCUUUCUAGGACCUCUAGGUGUUUCAAACCUCUCCUCUAGGUGUUCCAAACCUCUCCUCUAGGACCUCUUGUUGCAGCCCUGACCUAGCACACUUGAUUCAAAUAGUCAAGGGCUUGAUGAUUGGUUGACAAGUUGAAUCAGGUGUUCUAGCUCUGGAAUAGUUCAAAUACAUGGAACGGCUGGAGAACCCAGAGGAGAGGUUUGAGAACGGCUGGAGAACCCAGAGGAGAGGUUUGAGAAUGGCUGGAGAACCCAGAGGAGAGGUUUCAGAACGGCUGGAGAACCCAGAGGAGAGGUUUGAGAACGGCUGGAGGUCCCAGAGGAGAGGUUUGAGAACGGCUGGAGAACCCAGAGGAGAGGUUUGAGAACGGCUGGAGGUCCCAGAGGAGAGGUUUGUGAAUGGCUGGAGGUCCCGGGGGAGAGGUUUGAGAACGGCUGGAGGUCUCGGAGGAGAGUUUUGGAACGGCUGGAGAACCCGGAGGAGAGGUUUGGAAAAGGCUGAGCUAUAUGUUUGCCAAACAACUUUACAUGUCUGUUUCACACACAGGAAGGUAUUGCAGUUGAAUCACAAUUCAUGUUGAUUAAAACAAAUGAUAAUGAAAGAUUUGUAUUUCUGUGUGUAGUAACCAGGUAUUAUUAUUGUGUACUGUGUUAGUUUAGAGGUGUUACAGAGUGAAAGAUGGGGGUAACAGGAAGAGGAGGAGUCGAAGAGCAAUGGGCUGGAUGACAGGAAGGGGAGGAGUCAUAGGGCAGUGGGCUGGAUGACAGGAAGAGGAGGAGUCAUAGGGCAGUGGGCUGGAUGACAGGAAGAGGAGGAGUCAUAGGGCAGUGGGCUGGAUGACAGGAAGAGG